rnacentral:ncRNA from 1 species
UGAAAAGCUGUGAUGGAAACAAGUACUUUUAUGAAUUAUUAAGAGAGUCGACGGUUGCUGUGAGUCGAUUAUGAAAUAAAAGGAAAUACAUUCUUGAGCUUUAUUCUGAAACUUCCUAGUGAAAUGAAUUGAUUUCAUUAACUAUAGAAUUAGUAGGUUGUUACGUGAUUCUGCGUUAAAGAACUGAGUGGAUAUAUUUGAUAGAAUAUAUCAAUUUGGGUGGUACCACGAAUAUUUUCGUCCCUUAG